rnacentral:rRNA from 1 species
CCUACGGGGGGCAGCAGUGGGGAAUAUUGCACAAUGGGCGAAAGCCUGAUGCAGCAACGCCGCGUGAGUGAUGAAGGCCUUCGGGUCGUAAAACUCUGUCCUCAAGGAAGAUAAUGACGGUACUUGAGGAGGAAGCCCCGGCUAACUACGUGCCAGCAGCCGCGGUAAUACGUAGGGGGCUAGCGUUAUCCGGAUUUACUGGGCGUAAAGGGUGCGUAGGCGGUCUUUCAAGUCAGGAGUGAAAGGCUACGGCUCAACCGUAGUAAGCUCUUGAAACUGGGAGACUUGAGUGCAGGAGAGGAGAGUGGACAUCAUGGUGUAGCGGUGAAAUGCGUAGAGAUUAGGAGGAAACCGAGUUGCGAGGGCGGGGGUAUGGACUGUAACUGACGCUGAGGGACGAAAGCGUGGGGAGCAAACAGGAGUAGAGACCCCAGUAGUC